UACCCCGGUAGCUCAGUGGCCAGAGCGCCGCCCUUACAAGGCGGGCGUCGGCGGUUCGACUCCGCCCCGGGUGACCA
rnacentral:tRNA from 1 species